UUGAGUUUGACAUCGGUGUUUUUUUCGUAUUCAAUUAUACCGAUUGACCAACUAUACGACAUGUAUACGAAAAUAAUUUCAUUAUACGAAUUUCGUAGCCUAUUAUACGAUCUGGCAGCCCUGUAGAUAACGUCACAUAUUACUUUGUAAAUUAUUAAUUACAAAUUGUGCAAGCAAAGUAGUUGGUUUCCACUUUUGAAUUAAACUAAAAUGUAGUAUAGUUUAAACUCUGUGUUUUAUGUCUGUGUGCUCUUAAUAAAAAUUACAUAUUUGACAAAAACCUUAUUUACAGAAUGGCGCAAUCAUCUGCUACACAACAACAAAUUGAAACCCUCUUAGAUGUUUUACUUGAACACAGAGAUUUGGCCAAAGGAAGUAUACGCCACGCAGACGGACGAAAAGAAACAGCAGCGCUCUGGACCUACAUUGCCCAAGUUUUAAAUGGCCUUGGGGGUGCAAACAAAUCUGUUAAACAGUGGCAGAAGGUCUGGGCAGAUAAAAAUUACACAGCUAAAACUAAAGCGGCGGAGAGGACUCGCGGGGCUACCGGUAUUGGGGGUGGUCCUCCAGUGGGUGGAAAGUUGACAGAGGUGGACAUGCGGGUGCUCCACAUUAUGGGCGAAGGCUUUGGAGGUCCCCAAACUACAGCUAUUGUAAAUCCCUUUGAGGUAAUUAAUGCAUUUUUUAUUAUAAGCAUUUUAUUAACUUGCAAUGUAUUUAUGUACCUAUGUCAACUAUGUUUGUACGGGCUCUUGCAAGUUAAAUUAAACCCUCUUCCUGACGUUCAAUAAAGCCGAAAAUUUCCCUUCAUAUGUAAGUCGGGUGACAAUGGAAUAUUAUGGUACCAUCGAGCUGAUCUGAUGAUGGAGACAGGAGGUGGCCCGUGGCCAUAGGAACUCCUUGAUUUAACAAAAAAACCUUAUUGUGUUUUGGGUUUUAGAAUUGUCUUGAUGAAUAUUACUUGCCUUGAUGAAUAUUACUUGCCUGUAGAAAAAAAAAUACAUACAGCUAUAAAAGCUUGCGAAACGCCGUAAGAUGAGUGUUGCCAAUGAUCGCCGCAUUAUACAUGCCCAAACCCAACUAAAAAAUGGAGAUAUAAGCAUCGGUCACUAAUUGCGGCUUACAAUUAUUAAUGUUAUUAGUGUGGCAUGCCGGUUGCCCGUUUGAGCCGAUGAAACAAAAAUGACAAAGAAAGAAGAUAAAUAAUUAUUAUAUUAAGUUCUUCGGGACUCGGGACUCUAGUAAACGCGGACAAAUUAGUAUAUUAUGAGGAAAUACUAGAAAGCGUUUUAGUGGUGGCGCUAUCCUCGGCAGAAAAGGAUAAAUCCCAAAACGCUCUUCCUAUGAAAGAGAAACUAUACUUUUUAAUAAGAGAAAUAGCUGGGGAUAAAGCCAUCAUCCCAAUUGACGAAGACGAAACAGAGUAUAGCGAUUUGCCACUAGAUCUGGCAAACAACGAUGGGGAGGGGUCUGCCUUGGACAGUUGGGUGAAAACUGUAAGAGACAACGUGAUAACAACGAUACAAGGAGGACCCAGAAGGAAGACCCAACCCAUAUUAUUGUCCGCCGGUAGCGGAAGAGUUUAUGAGCACGGCCACAGAAUUUGUUCUGUGAUCGAAUGUCGUACGACGGAAGCGGCACUUCGGCACCAAUUGAAGGCGAGUUCGCCGAUUUAUAGUGCCACAUUUUGAAAGGGGAAUCAAAGUCCCUAAUAGUGAACACAUUUGAGGUUACGCACAUUAAU